rnacentral:ncRNA from 20 species
UCCUUAUCAAGAGUCGGGGGAGGAAUCUGGUCCAUUGAUCCCGCAGCAACCAGUUACAAUGAAGUAACAUGGUGCUCAUUCCAGCAAGCGUAGGCUUGAUAGAUGAGAA